rnacentral:rRNA from 1 species
GCAGAACCUUACCAUCCCUUGACAUGGCAUGUUACCUCGAGAGAUCGGGGAUCCUCUUCGGAGGCGUGCACACAGGUGCUGCAUGGCUGUCGUCAGCUCGUGUCGUGAGAUGUUGGGUUAAGUCCCGCAACGAGCGCAACCCACGUCCUUAGUUGCCAUCAUUCAGUUGGGCACUCUAGGGAGACUGCCGGUGAUAAGCCGCGAGGAAGGUGUGGAUGACGUCAAGUCCUCAUGGCCCUUACGGGAUGGGCUACACACGUGCUACAAUGGCGGUGACAGUGGGACGCGAAACCGCGAGGUUGAGCAAAUCCCCAAAAGCCGUCUCAGUUCGGAUUGCACUCUGCAACUCGGGUGCAUGAAGGCGGAAUCGCUAGUAAUCGUGGAUCAGCACGCCACGGUGAAUGCGUUCCCGGGCCUUGUACACACCGCCCGUCACACCAUGGGAGUUGGUCUUACCCGACGGCGCUGCGCCAACCGCAAGGAGGCAGGCGACCACGGUAGGGUCAGCGA